GUCUUUGUAUCAUUGAGAAACAAAUCCCAGGUGAACGAGCAGGAGGAGAAUUGUCUGAAUAGGGAAAGGUCAGUGCAGCUAAUAAGUCCGUGAACAAACAGCUUGAGCUGGGCUUGACAUUAAUAGCAUCAUUGGAUAUUAUUUAUUAACUAACUAACAUUCAGUGAACUUAAUCAUCUUGAAAUUUUCUUACCAUAUAUUUGGAAAAUAGCCACCCUCUAUUUGUCAUUUGUUCUUCUCCUGUUCAUAAUCAACAUUCAUGAAGUUAAUGGAUGGAAAAUACUUCAUGUGCCCAGGUACCUAUCUAGAUUGUGAACAAACUGUGCUGUGAUGCGUUGUCAUUCAAGCUAUUAAAUCAACACUCGAGACCACAAUUAAACAGAGGGGAGCAGCGAGGAAGGCUGCCUUCAGCACACAGCCCUGCAGCGUCUGCUUGCUCCACGCUCUGUUAGUACAGGCUUUGUGCUCUCCCUUCCCUGGGAACACGCUCCUCACCACACAGAUGACUAUUACAGUUUCUCAUUGAAUGAUUUUGUGUUGGUUCCUUCGAAGAAAGAUUUCCUGAAGAAAGGCUGCCCUGGGCCUGCCACGCUUGGCCUGCUCAGAGGAGCAGGCAUCGUGCCUUGUAAUGUCUUCACUGAGACCAAAACACUCACAGUGCAUGGGAAAAGGAGCUCAUCCUCUGAGAUGUUGAGUGCCUUUAGUUCCCAAAAGUGCCUGUUGUCUCAAAAGGAGUGGCAGGUCCCUCAGCUUGUCACACGCUGCAACGAGCUGAAAGUUUGGUGGGAAACAUCUGCUUUGGUCCCUGUUCGCUGCCCUGUGAUGCUCAGCCUGAUGCAGACCCCCUGUGACAGUGACCUUGUCUGACCAGCUGCUGUGAGACUGAUUGAGCAUCUUCCAGCCACGGAGGAAGAAAUAAACUGAGGGGGAACCAAAAAAAUUAAGGAGAAACAUGAAAACACCUGAAAACCUGUGAGGAACAUGCUACCUCCUGCUUGCAGCCCUUUCUGCUCGUCGUGCACCCCUCUGACCUUCUGCAGGUGCUGGCUGGGGAUGGAGGCACUGCUCGUCCCGAGCCCCUACAACGCCCGGUGCUGCCCUUGCAUCAGCUUCAGCCUUGGGGUGCAGAAAUCCCACCUGGAGGGACUUGGCUCCAUCAUUAACGCUUUGCCCUUUAAAAUGCUCAUCACGCAGCGAGCGCUGAGCCGAGGAGCUCCUCACCGGCACAGAGCAGCUGCGAUGCCGUUAUCCUGCUUUACCCACUCGUGUUGCACACAGUCCUGCUGGAUGAAGAGGUGUUAAGUUGAAGGAAAAACAAACCCAAGAACCACUUGCAAGUCCAGCUAUGUUUUUUCCUCCUGUGCAUUUUUUAUACAUAAAGAAAAGAGCAACCUUACAGCUUGAAAAGACCCCAGGAUAUUUUUUAAUUAUUUUCAUUAUCUUUUUUCAGUGAGCACUCUCCAAUAUUUUUCUGGGUUGAAACAGGGAAAACAUCAUACAAAAUUUUGCCCCACCUGUUCUGGGAUAUGCAAAGCUCCAGCCCUGUCCCGUGUCUCCUGCUGCCAGCAGAGGGAUAGUGGGACCACAGAGUGGGAAAUUGGGUCCUUUAAUUAAUGAUGAGGAGAGAGAGGAGGAAAAAUGGGAAGGGGAAAAAGCCAUCCAAGCACAUUUAUCAUCCCUUGCUGUUAUGAGACUUUUUUUAUGGUGUAUUUGCCUAAAUGAAAUGAAAGUCUGGGGAGGAAAUAUAUUGCUUUACAAGUCAAGCGAGACAUACUGUGGGGCCUGCGCUAAAACGCUCAGCUUUGUUUACUGAUCCUGAUCCUUUCUGACCCCCCUACUUAAAAAAUAAUGCCUGGUAAUUUUCAAGAUGGAAAUAUUUCCUCUGGAAAAAGUCAGACCAAGACCUCCAGACUUCCCUCAGUGUUUCCUCUGCACUCGCUCACAGCCCUCUGCCUGCCUGGGGAGCUGCAGCCCUCUUCAAUUUAGCAGAAAUUACCCAACCUCCCUAUCUCGGCUCCCCAGAUCAUCCUUUGGUUCAAGAAACAGGUGGAUUUUCUUAUCACUGGUUAAAAAGGCCCCUGGGUGCAUUAGCAGAGGAAUAGCACUGGGAACGUCUCCGUUUUUUUUUCCCCCUGGCUUUUUUACAGGUCUGGCAGUGGCCCUGGAGUGGAUCAAAUGAAGUCUCCCCCUGGAUGCUGAUGGGGACUGACGUGAUCGCAACUUCCAGAGCUGUAUUGGGCCCUCAGGACUCAGGCUCUCAGGGGUGUUUAGCAGCAGUGAGUGAAAUGAUGAUGGGUGCUGGCUCCCCACUAGCCCCCAGCUCCCAGGUUCAUGCCCAAGGGCCAGCAGCAGCCCCAAAGCCCUGCAGCCCCUGCUCCCAUGGGAGUUGACUUCGACCCCAAGCUCAGAAGUAAGGAUUUAUCUAAAUGUGUUUUUUUUUUUUAAAAAAAAAAAAGAAAAAAAAAAUAAAAAGAAAAAGACAUAGGCUUGCA
rnacentral:lncRNA from 1 species